rnacentral:rRNA from 1 species
GUCAAGUCAUCAUGGCCCUUACGACCAGGGCUACACACGUGCUACAAUGGCCGGUACAGAGGGCCGCGAACCUGCGAAGGUAAGCUAAUCUCAUAAAACCGGUCGUAGUCCGGAUUGGAGUCUGCAACUCGACUCCAUGAAGUCGGAAUCGCUAGUAAUCGUGGAUCAGAAUGCCACGGUGAAUACGUUCCCGGGCCUUGUACACACCG